rnacentral:rRNA from 1 species
AGCAGCCGCGGUAAUUCCAGCUCCAAUAGCGUAUAUUAAAGUUGUUGCAGUUAAAAAGCUCGUAGUUGAAUUUCGGGAUCAAAUUGUCGGUCGUGCCUCGGUACGCACUGGUAUUAUUGGUUCCUACCUUCUGAAGAACCGCGAUGUCAUUAAUUUGGUGUCGUGGGGAAUCAGGACUGUUACUUUGAAAAAAUUAGAGUGUUUAAAGCAAGCGCACGCUUGAAUACAUUAGCAUGGAAUAAUGAAAUAGGACGUUUGAUUCUAUUUUGUUGGUUUCUAGGAUCGACGUAAUGAUUAAUAGGGAUAGUUGGGGGCAUUAGUAUUCAAUUGUCAGAGGUGAAAUUCUUGGAUUUAUUGAAGACUAACUACUGCGAAAGCAUUUGCCAAGGAUGUUUUCAUUAAUCAAGAACGAAAGUUAGGGGAUCGAAGACGAUCAGAUACCGUCGUAGUCUUAACCAUAAACUAUGCCGACUAGGGAUCGGAUGAUGUUAAUUUUUUAAUGACUCA